GACCUGGUGGUGCAAUGCGGCACACUUGCUCUCGUUAAACAUCAUGAUCGUCUGGAAUGCGGGAAGUCCUGGUUCGAAUCCGGGUUAGGUCA